UUGAAUAUAUAGUGCUAUCAUCAGACCAACAUCAUGGCAAACCGCGUGACGCUCCUCGUGUUGCUCCUCCUGUUGCUCCUCCUGUUGCUCCUCGUGUUGCUCCUCCUGUUGCUCCUCCUGUUGCUUCUCCGGGUUUCUGAACAUGUUGUUCUUCGUGAAGCUCUUCACGACCGCGAUAACAAAGCAUCCGUGUUUGCACACGGCGGCGUGGCGACGUGUUCUUUAGCUGCUGCCGGGCUGCUAUCUGCGGGCCGCACAUUGACCCGUGUUGGUUUAUGUCCCAAUCCAAGUGGCAGCGCCAUCAGCAGCAGCCUGGAGAGCGUCUCUCUUUCUCCGUGUAAAACAUCCAUGACACCGGGGCGUCGCGUUGAGAUUAAAAGCUCUUUUGCAAGGGUCGUCGGUCAGGUUGACUAAAGACGUGUGCGUUGUGCGACGCUGGAUCACGGCCAAAAGCAACAGGGUGCAACGGUUCAAAAUGGAGGCCUCAGUGAGUCAACACGCCCAUCCCUCACACCACGGCACAGUAUAAGUGAUAGUGCAGCUUUCGUCCGUUUCCCUGAAGAGUCGGCAGCAUCUUGGCAGAGUACUGUUGUCCCCCCCCCCCCUUUUCCUCCAGUUCAUCCCCUUCAAACAACUUGCCUGAAAAAAAAAGCUUCCAGAGGGUCAACUAUUUAUAAUUGAGAUGCGAUGCCACCGAGUGCUCGCCAUGAGUCAUCGCUGAGGCGAGGAGGCAGAGAGACGUCUCACUCCCGUUCACUCUCCCCUCCCUGCAAGCUCUCUGGUCAGCGUCGCCCUCUCUGCCACUUGGAAUUCAAACCCCCGGCGAAGCUCCAUAAACAGCUCGUAACAGUGAGCGACAGACAAGGAGCCACAGCUGCCGUCACAUCGUGGUCCAAAGGAGGGAUUUUAACUUGUCCAGGCGCACCUGUGCUGCGGCUGCUUGCGUGUCCGAGCCAAAGGUCAACAAGAAGGUCAACAAGAAGGUCAACAAGAAGGUCAACGAGGAACGACUUAAUCACAGCGUGCCGAGCCGGAGCUGCAGGACCCCAUGAAGACCAGAUGACAUGUUAUUAUCACGAGGGCAGACAGACAGGCAGGCAGACAAGCAGACAGACAGACACAUAGACAGGUAGAUAGACAUACAUCCAGACAGACAGACAUACAGGCAUACAGACAGGCAGACAGGCAGACAGACAGACACAUAGACAGGCAGACAGACAGGCAGACAUACAUACAUACAUGCAGACAUAAAGACAGACAGACAGACAGACAGAUAGAUAGAUAGACAGACACACAGACAGGCGGACAGACAGACAUUCAUACAUACAGACAUACAGACAAACAGAUAUACAGACAGACAAACAGACAUACAGAAAGACAGGUAUACAAACAGACAGGUAUACAAACAGACAGACAGACAGACAGGUAUACAAACAGACAGACAGGUAUACAAACAGACAGACAUACAGACAGACAGACAUACAGACAGACAGGUAUACAAACAGACAGACAGACAGACAGACAGACAUACAAACAGACAUACAGACAGACAGGUAUACAAACAGACAGACAUACAGACAGACAGACAUACAGACAGACAUACAGACAGACAGGUAUACAAACAGACAGACAUACAGACAGACAGACAUACAGACAGACAUACAGACAGACAGGUAUACAAACAGACAGACAGACAGAGAGACAGACAGACAGACAGGUAUACAAACAGACAUACAGACAGACAGGUAUACAAACAGACAGACAUACAGACAGACAGGUAUACAAACAGACAUACAGACAGACAGGUAUACAAACAGACAGACAGACAGGAAGUAUGAGCUUGUUCCAUCACAUUGGCUUCAGACCGUGGAGACUCAAUGUGGCUGCAUCAAUAACUUGUUCUAGAUGUAUGAACAUAUUCUAUGGACUUUGUUUUCUCUGAAUGUCUAAAUGUGUAUGAGAGAGAUUAAAAGCGAGGGUAUACGUGUUGUAAAACAACUUAAACAAUAAAGUUAGAGUUGUGUACUAGAGAGGGGUGGGGGGGGGGACACACACACACUCCAAUCUGGUUGUUGAGGAUUGAUUUCCUCGUCACUAUGGGGGAUUAAAGGUUCUCCGAAGGGGAACAGAUGGUACUCAACCCAACAAGAACGCCUCUCACAGUCAGGGAAGCCAGCGAUUAUGUCCGUACUCCUCAUUGAAACGCCCUACCUUCUAUAUGACGAUUGAAAACAUCUCACCAAAACUUGCCGUACAUUACUUAGCUUUGAAUACACACUGACUCAAGGGUCAUCCCACAGGAUGAAAUGACUGAAGUGACACAUCCAAUAGACACGUCCGUGAGAUGAGGCUAUUACUUUAGUAACUAAGUGUAGUUGUGCUCUGGCCGAGUCGGCCAUGAGUGGCGUCCGGGGUGGAAUCUGUGUCUGUGAUAGGAGGCUUUUAGUCUGGUAAAAAUAGUGCACGCCGCAGAGACCCUAUGGACGCCAAUGACCAGCGAAUAGACAGCUGUGUGUCCGACUCACACAAUACAUGUCUAAAGCUGGGAGAGGCCAGAGGGUCUCUUUUGUUUCAGGAGAGUAAUUAACCCAAAAGGAAAAGUCAGUGUUGAGAGGAUCCUGACAAUUAUUGUCCUUUCGCUUAUUUAUCUACAGGGACAAACUCCAUGGAAAUAUUUCUAUAAAUGUGUCACUGGUGUUUAAGAAGAAACACUUGGAACAGUUUCUUCCAUCACAAAAUCAAUAAGGAGGAUACUGAAAAUCAUGAAUCCAUAAAGAGAGGCCUCUUACCACAUAUAAGUAUAGUGUAGAUGUGUGCAUGGCAUUAUUAAAGUGAAAAACAGAGUCAUUUUGUCACAUAAGUGUAGCAGGAAGUUCUUAAUUAUUUGACUGCCAGGAACCAAAUCUGAGCUGUUAACUGGCAACUUGUCUGGGAAUAUUAUAGUAAAUCCUCAGAGAGUUUUUGGGAGCAUAGAUAAAGUUAUUGGGACAUAAUUUGGUUUCCAAAGAGGUUGAUCUGGCUAUUAAUGGUCGAUUUAAUCAGAGUUCCUGGGAACACAUUUCUUACUGUAUUGUAUUCUAGAGAGCUAUUGUUUUCGGUACUUGUAGCAUACUUUACUGAGUACUUCCAUGUUGUGCUACUUCACACUACUAUUUCACUAAAUUUCAGUGGCAAAGAUUGCAUUUUUACCUCCGCUAGAUUUAUGAGACUACAUUAGAUUUGUUGAAGUUCCAGAUAAAUAUUACAAAUAUAAAUCAACUAAAUGAUGAUAUAUUGUUAGUAUACAAUAAAUUCAAAUCAGCUCAAGUCACAACCAUGUAUUCAAUAGCAAUUAUAAUCCAGUAAUAAUAUGAUUCUGAAAGGUUUAAUGAUUUAAAUAUAAUGUAAUGCUUUUGUAAUUCUGCUUAUGUAUUUUCACUGCAGUACUUCUACAUGGAACAUAGUAUUUUUAUGAGUAGCUUAGUUCUUCCACUCCUGCUGCAUACUCCUAAAGUAGAGCAUUUGUGUUUAAUCAUUUAAACAGAGAGAGGAGGAGAACAG